rnacentral:rRNA from 1 species
CCUACGGGGGGCAGCAGUGGGGAAUAUUGGACAAUGGGGGGAACCCUGAUCCAGCCAUGCCGCGUGUGUGAAGAAGGCCCUCGGGUUGUAAAGCACUUUCAGUGAGGAAGAACGCCUGGUGGUUAAUACCCAUCAGGAAAGACAUCACUCACAGAAGAAGCACCGGCUAACUCCGUGCCAGCAGCCGCGGUAAUACGGAGGGUGCGAGCGUUAAUCGGAAUUACUGGGCGUAAAGCGCGCGUAGGUGGCUUGAUAAGCCGGUUGUGAAAGCCCCGGGCUCAACCUGGGAACGGCAUCCGGAACUGUCAAGCUAGAGUGCAGGAGAGGAAGGUAGAAUUCCCGGUGUAGCGGUGAAAUGCGUAGAGAUCGGGAGGAAUACCAGUGGCGAAGGCGGCCUUCUGGACUGCAACUGACACUGAGGUGCGAAAGCGUGGGUAGCAAACAGGAUUAGAUACCCUUGUAGUC